GAUGAAGAACGCAGCGAAAUGCGAUAAGUAAUGUGAAUUGCAGAAUUCAGUGAAUCAUCGAAUCUUUGAACGCACAUUGCGCCCGCCAGUAUUCUGGCGGGCAUGCCUGUUCGAGCGUCAUUUCAACCAUCAAGCCCCCGGCUUGUGUUGGGGACCUGCGGCUGCCGCAGGCCCUGAAAACCAGUGGCGGGCUCGCUAGUCACUCCGAGCGUAGUAAUACAUCUCGCUCAGGGCGUGCUGCGGGUUCCGGCCGUUAAAAAGCCUUAUUUACCCAAAGUUGACCUCGGAUCAGGUAGGAAGACCCGCUGAACUUAAGCAUAUCAAUAAGCGGAGGA
rnacentral:misc_RNA from 1 species